GCACACAGGAUUUAAGGCAACAAAAGCAAUGCAACCUGGCGGGCAGGUAACCCAAACAGAGCAAGGGCUUUUGAGUCGAAGGCUGCAGGGCGAGGCAACCCUAAAGGGGGAGAAGGUGCCAAAUUCAGUCCUUGGACUUUCUUGAUAAAACUGGCAAACACUGCAGAAGGAACAUAUCGCUCCACACCCUCAAAUUCCUGAUAAGAGGCAACCUAUUUAGGGUUUGGCCACGCCGGACAAAUUUCUGGGAAUUUGUCCCUCAAAACAUCUGGAGAACCCAGAUUGGCAAAGGUUCCAUUAGUUAAUUGUACUUGAUCUUCAAGCAACUAUUGUUUGCACAACCUCUUGCAGAAGAAGAAAGAUCUGUUUUUAAUUUAGACAUUCAAGAGCUCUGUUGAUCGAGGCUGAAUUUUCAUCUCCAGGGGCAGGUAGAAAAAUUAUAUACCCUGAAACUCAGGAAUUGCAGAAAAGCUGUUUCAUAACCUCUCUCUUUCUCCAGAAGCCACCAAACCUGUUUCUACCGGUGCUUUAGUGUUGCACCAUCAUGCCACGUAGGGUCAUACUAAGAGCAAGUAAAAUAUUUUAAAUGAUUGAGGCCGGUGGAGAAAAGCAGACAACCCCCACUUUCUGGAAAGUUCAAACUUUGCCAAACAUUUCUGUCGUAUUUUGGAAAGCAAUGUAACCACGCUGUGACUUGCUGUAAUAGUAAGACAGGUGGGUCCUCAAUUUACAACCACAACUUGCCUGAAACCUACAGUAAAGGAAAUGCAUAUUUAAUUAUACCUGUAUUAACUGCAGCUAGAAUUGUAUUUGCACAAAAUUGGAAAAGUGAUAAGAUUCCUACAGAUGAGAAUGGGAUGAGGAAAAUAUUAGAAUGUGCAGAAAUGUAACAGAUUAACGCUUGCUAUAAAGGAGAAAGAACCAACUGAAUCUUAUAUGACACGGGAGCUAUUUCAUGGAGGGUUGGAGAAUAAAAACAGAAGUGAGA